AUCCAAAAUAAAAGAGCGCCAACACUCUCCACUAAAUUUCAGUUCUUUUCUUUCACGCUAUUCAAAGAACCCUAAGCCCAAAAUUGCAAAAUGAGGAUGGCACAUACUCUCCGCUACCACCACCUUGCUGUCCUCCCUCUCUAAUUGAGCGAAAACCGAAGGAAUACAAGUAGAUGUUAUAAUCGUUCUUUUCAAUGUCGAUGAUAGCAGAGAGCGGAGCUUACCAGUCUGUCACUUUUCUACUUCGCUUUGUCUCUGUAGGAAGGUAGAGAGGAAACCGCCAGCUGUCAUCUCCGCACAUCCAAUCUCCUUUCAGUUUCAAGUUUUAUGGGAGCUGCGAUAUCAAAUCCUGCAUUUGAAGUUCCGAAAUAUAUUGUCAAACGAAGGAAUAAAAAGGAAGUCUAUUAGUGGGAUAAAGUAUUAUGCAGGGUUGUCCAUUAUAUCUCUGUUAAUGUUUACACCUUUUGCUGUUGCAAUGGAGGGUCUCUAGAGGUGGGCAGUAGGAUGGCAAAACACGCUCUCUCACAUAGGACCCACUUUUGUUUGUGAAGCGAAUAUCUGUCGGUGUUGCCUCUAUCAUAAUCUUCCAAAUACAUGUUCGACUCAUCAAUGCACUUGGAGCUGCCAUUGUAAUCUUAGGAACCUUCUUUUAUUCACAAGAGUUUCGGGUUUAAAGUGUUAUUGCUUAACCUGAUACUGCUAGGGCUGUUUUUCUAGAAGGUGAAGCAUGGUGCUCAUAUUUGGCUGCUAAGUGCCUCUCCAAUUGCAAAAAUGGAUUGACAUACUCUUAAAUAUCCAGUCGAAAAAGGUGUUAUUUUUCUGUAUGAAGCAAGAACGACAAGUUUUGUAAAUAAUGCUACAAACACGUUCAUCCAAAAUUUAUGUGACAGCUAGAAUAUAUAUGAUAGUUAGAAGCUGUGACAAUGCCCACUAUUGCAGAAAGGUAAAUCAGUGUUUUAAUUUAGUCGGAUGCUUGACUCCUUGGCUUAAGCAUUGUUUUUGUUUUCUUACUCUUUUUUCCUUAGAGUGGAGGUGGUUUUGAGCAGUUAAUCCGUUCGAUUUCACCAGUACUGGAUGAGACAAUAAGACUGAAAGUCCUCACUCUUCUUCCAUGCAUUUUCAGAUGUGUUCGUCAUUCGCAUACUGCCGUGAGAUUAGCUGAUUACUACCAAAGCCCAGUCAAUGAAUUUGGUUAUGGUUGAACUUUAGUACUCGAGAUCUAAGUGUACUUUUGUCCUCAUUUGCACAUAAUAUUUUACUAAAAAGUGCCAUGCUGUGUCCAUCUUGUACAUAAUGCUCUUUUCCUUGUGGUUACUUAUUUCGAUUUCAA